UGCUCUUUGUACACUAUAAAAUAAUCAAAUCAUAUUCUAUUUAUUACAUAUAAACGGAGAAAAAUAUGACUAAAAUUUUCAAAUUUAUACAUGCUAUGAUUUUAUUUCUUUCCCUAUUUCUUGUUGCUGAAAGUUAUUUCGCGGAUAUUCUAUGUAAGGUUCAUGAAGAUUGUCCACAAAAAUCGACUCACAAGUAUUACUGCAUUGACGAUGAAUGUUUUUUGUAUUACUGGGAAGCUCCUUGAAUACCAGAGUGACACAAUAAAUUGCAUGAGUACCAUUCUUUAGAGAGUAUACUUAUGCCAUAUAAUGUGUUUUUACACUAAAAAAUCUACGCAAUGUAACUUGCUUGAUUAUCAACGGUUUCAAUUCAUCUACUGUGAUCAUGGAGCCCAAUAAUCAGUGUAUCUUUUUUUUUUUUUUUUUUUUAAGCAAUAACCUUAUAACAUUUCAUUAAAAAUCAAGUCAUGGAUACAUGUCAGUACAUCAUCAAAAAUACGGAAGCUAGUCAAGGAAGUGGAUGCCUUUGCUAAUUCAUGGGCAACCACAUUCGCUUGCCUCCUAAUAAAUUCAACAUGAGAGUUUUUUAAAUUGGAAUGACAAUAAUGAAUAUUACUAUCCAUAAUGUUUCCAAACUCAA